CGCGUAGGCGGGUCGGCAAGUCCGGGGUGAAAGCCCCAGCUCAACUGGGGAAGGGCCUUGGAAACUGCCGGUCUCGAGGGAGGUAGGGGCCUGUGGAACUUCGGGUGGAGCGGUGAAAUGCGUUGAUAUCCGAAGGAACGCCGGUGGCGAAAGCGACGGGCUGGAUCUCUUCUGACGCUGAGGCGCGAAAGCUAGGGGUAGCGAACG
rnacentral:rRNA from 1 species